rnacentral:misc_RNA from 1 species
ACCUUAAAGAAGCGUACUUUGCAGUGCUCACACAGAUUGUCUGAUGAAAAGUAAAUAGCAAGGCGUCUUGCGAAGCAGACUGAUACGUCCCCUUCGUCUAGAGGCCCAGGACACCGCCCUUUCACGGCGGUAACAGGGGUUCGAAUCCCCUAGGGGACGCCACUUGCUGGUUUGUGAGUGAAAGUCACCUGCCUUAAUAUCUCAAAACUGACUUACGAGUCACGUUUGAGAUAUUUGCUCUUUAAAAAUCUGGAUCAAGCUGAAAAUUGAAACACAGAACAACGAAAGUUGUUCGUGAGUCUCUCAAAUUUUCCCAACACGAUGAUGAAUCGUAAGAAACAUCCUUCGGGUUGUGA